GAUGAACGCUGGCGGCGUGCCUAAUACAUGCAAGUCGAGCGAACAGAUGAGGAGCUUGCUCCUCUGACGUUAGCGGCGGACGGGUGAGUAACACGUGGAUAACCUACCUAUAAGACUGGGAUAACUACGGGAAACCGGAGCUAAUACCGGAUAAUAUAUUGAACCGCAUGGUUCAAUAGUGAAAGACGGUUUUGCUGUCACUUAUAGAUGGAUCCGCGCCGCAUUAGCUAGUUGGUAAGGUAACGGCUUACCAAGGCAACGAUGCGUAGCCGACCUGAGAGGGUGAUCGGCCACACUGGAACUGAGACACGGUCCAGACUCCUACGGGAGGCAGCAGUAGGGAAUCUUCCGCAAUGGGCGAAAGCCUGACGGAGCAACGCCGCGUGAGUGAUGAAGGUCUUCGGAUCGUAAAACUCUGUUAUUAGGGAAGAACAAAUGUGUAAGUAACUAUGCACGUCUUGACGGUACCUAAUCAGAAAGCCACGGCUAACUACGU
rnacentral:rRNA from 1 species